AAAAGUCUUCCAGUUUUAUUUCUUUGACUUAAAUUGACUUUAAGUCUUGAUACUCAAUGCUGGCAUACAUCAGAAAUCCCACAAAUAGGGUUUUUUAUGUAAGUUUUUGAAGUGUUGAAAUCUUUUUGGAGAUUUUAGGGAGUUAUAUUUUAUUCACCUUCGGAAAAGGAAAACCCCAGUGCCACUGACACUUCAUUUCACAUUUGCCACAUUAUUUUUUACACAUUCUCCAGUGGAAAUAUCAUUGGUAUCUGCACUAAGAAUACUGAGCAUCCAGGAGAGUUUCUAGAUUUCUAACCCAGUUCCUUUUGCAGAGAAACUCUUCAUGAUUUUCAGUCUAAUGCCUCCAUAUCAUUGGUCAUAAAGUUCCUUUACAAAGGUGAGCGACAUUGCGUUUGUUUACCUGAGAGGAACUGCAGCACGGAAACAUACAUGGGGGAUGAUUCAUCCAGAUUGUCUGAAUGGUGUGGUCAUUGAGCCUACUGUUUCUUAAUGGCUUGUGCCUUAUUCCUGUAAAAGUUGGCUCAGAACUGAGAUUUCAAGGGCUGUGCUCAUAUUUAGUAAGAAUAGCAAAAGGGGAAAAAAAUACUUCAGGUUGAGGAAGUGCAAAAGUAACACCAACGUCUCCUUUCAAGACAAUGAGUGAGAAAGAACUCAAACUUUCAUUUUGCUCUGUUGGUUUGGUUCUCGGACAGCCUGUUAAAAUAAACCUGCUCAGGAACAGUUGUGUGGAGGUCUGGCAGCCAUUUGAGGAACACAGAAGUAGGCAGGGUCCAAGAUGGGUCACAGCAGGCAUAUUUGCCCUGUGCUGAACUGCUGGUGUCAACCUAAUAGGCUUGGUGUGGUGUGUGUGUGUGUUCCCCUAUUAAUUUAAUCAUACAAAGUUUUUUAACCUUUUUAGAUCUGCAGAUAUUAAGAUGCUUCUAGAGAUAGGAGUAUUGCUCUUAAAAGCUGUAUUCAGUGACUAGUGCACCAGGUGAAGAUCUACAAGUUACCAUGGCUACCCUAAGGCGUUUCCAAGUCGCACUGGCUGAGCUCACACAGCUGGUGGCACUUGCUGUGAUCAACAGGAACCAAAGGGCGGGUUCUGCUUCCACCAGACCUGUUUUGCCUCUGCUGGAGCCUGAAGUUUCUCUGCUCUGUUUGCCACAGGAAGUGGCUUCUUAGAAAUGCGGAUUCUUCCUCCUUUUAUGUUACCAGACAGGCUCAAACCCUGCAAGAAGCAACCUAUGACAAAGCUACAAGAAGCAAGUACCCAGGAAACCCCUUCAAGAAACUUGUAUGCUAAGCUUCAAAUUCAUGUACGUUACCGUAUCUCUGCACAAAAUGGAUUGUACAACACUUUUUCUAAGCGAUGAUAUCUCCUGCAAGAUCAGUUGUCUUACUUCCUCCUAAAGAUAGGAGGGGUAGAUGGACACUUUGUUUCAUCUUAGUCAUGCAUACUUGCUGCUUUUAUUCUUCCUUUUAUUAAUUCAAGAUUUGGCACAAUAAGAGUGUUAUAUAAGACUAAAUCGUUCUUACAUAAAUCUGAGUGAAUGUCUUUUAUGAAGCACUGGGUGCUUAUAAGUAAAAAUGAAUCACUUCCUUUUUAAAUGAGAGCUUUAAGCCUUGUAUUUUAUGUAGUUAAUUGCUACAAGCCAAAAUAACCUUUUGAGCUUCUUGAAUUUUAACAGCUGCUGACUGGAUGAAACAACCCACACUGAUAAAUAGAAACUUAAGAAUUUCCAAAAUAAAUGAUUCCCCAUUCCAACUUCCUCUUUUGACACAAAGUCCAGCUCAUUUUGCCACAAUGUUAGAUGUUCUUAGCACUCAUCUGUAGAGCCAGGGUACCUGUGUAUCACCUAAAGGAUAGAAUGAGAAAGGAUAACACAAGGACAACAUGAAUGUAAAGAUGAUACUUCAAAAGUAUGCAGAACAGUCAACAGGUCAAGAAGCACUGGUGAUUAAGCUCUUGCUAGAGGCUGGCAGACUUAAUAGGUUCAGGGUUCAACAGCUCAGUAAGAGAAUGGAAAACCUCUACAUGUGUUCCCAAUAUACAGGGAAACAGGGUUAUUCUUUGUGCAUGGAUUUAAGCUAAGACAAUAAAUAUCUGUAUUAUGAGGCAAGAUUAGCACAUGGAAUAAGACUCAGCAAGUAGAGAAUGUAGGAGAAAAACUGAAGAAAAAUUCAUUUAUGCUCCCUUGAUGAAAAUAAGUGAGAAGUGCUGUAGGAAAAUGCAGCAAGAGGCUACAGAAACAGUAGGAAGGCAGUUGGGGCUGCAGGCAUGAAACCUAGUUAUGCUGGAGGAGAAUUUCUUUAGUCUGUCAUUCUCUUCUACCACAGGGUAGUUAUUGCCUGCCACAAGAGUGAGUUCCUUGCUUUACUGGAUGACAAGCAAGUGCAGGAAUGAAAGAUCUGGUGCUGGAAGAAGUUUGUUUAGGAACAUAUUGGGCUAGUAGCAGGAACAUAUCAAAAGAAGAGGUAGGUUAAAAGUCAGAAACCCCUUGGGCAGUCACAUUGAGAUAAGAAAUAUGGAGAGAAGCUGAGAGAAAUAUUUGGUAAAUAACAAACCAAGCGAACAAUCCCUCUGGUGAGUGGUAGAGAAGCUCUGAGGCUGGCAAGGACAUAGUUAAAAUACUCUGUUAAAAUAGCGUGGUAAGUCAUCAAUGCAGAAACCAAAAUUCCUUGUUGGCAAACGUUGGAAUAAGCGUGGGAUAUAGUCAAUAUAUUAAAAGACCAGUGGAUGGCAGCAUAUUUUUACUACCAAAAUAGGGAGUAGUGCCAUAUGUUUUGGCUGCAGCCCAUAUGCUGACUAGAACAUCACACGUCCCAAGAAUUAAUCCAUGUUACGACUGAUAAGCUAGCACCAGCUGCAAAGAUUUGUGCUUUUUUAUCAUUUGUUUUUGCUGAGACAGCAGUGACUACUGCUGUAGCUGUCCCACGCUGAAUCAUCUGGGAGAUGAGCAGUGUGUUUUAUAAGGAUAGGAGUGAAAGGCAGAGAUAAAAAGUGGAAGAUAAAAGAAUGUGGAUAGCAUCAUGAUCAAGCUGUAUGCACCUUCUAAAAGUUUAUAAAAAUAUUUCAGGGAACAAAAACUCAGAAGGCUAGGUCUAAAGAAUCCCUUUUAGAGCUUCUACUUCUGAUAUUUAGUGUGUUCUAGUCUUAAAGUUAUUGUUCUGGUUCUGCUACAAAGCUGAUGAUUUCUUCUUAAGUUAGGAAUAAAAGUGGUAGACUGUAAAGAAAAUAAAUCUCGAGAUACAAAAUUCAUAUAUGAAGUGAAAAACUGAGUACCCAUUCAAGCUAUAACAUAAUACCCAUCCAACCAAAAACCGGUAAGCCUGAAGUAGUUAAAGGAAAGAUUUAUUUGAUAAUUAAGCUUCAGAAAAAACACAUUAUCCGUGCUCGCCAUGUUUAUUCACUCUAAGUGAGAAAAAAACUUGACAAGUCAUAAUAGAUUUGACUUACUAACAUACAUACUAUCUAUAUUCCUUGUUUACGUAAGUUUCAAAUGAGAAAGGAAAAACAUUUUAAAAGAACAGUUUAUAAAUUCAUUUGAUAGAAUAAACUUGUGAAAGUUGCAAGCCUGGAAAAACCUUUCCUUCUGUCUCAUGUUUUCUGAAGCAAAACACUUAAUGUAAAGCACACCUGACAUCUGACUUGCAUACACCUCACGGGUUUUCUAUGUAGUCUUCACUAAAGUGUGCUUACUAAAUGUUUCACUGUACCAGAGCAUGAGUUCCUCCAUCAGCUUCAAAACCUGUGAACUAGAUAGUCAUUGUAAACAAUGCUUCUAUAAAAAGGACAUUUCAAA